rnacentral:rRNA from 1 species
GACGAACGCUGGCGGCGUGCUUAACACAUGCAAGUCGAACGGGAUCCAUGUUGUAGCAAUACUUCGGAAGAUCUAGUGGCGAACGGGUGAGGAACACGUGAGAAACCUGCCCCGAACUUCGGGAUAACAGGUGGAAACGAUCGCUAAUACCGAAUACCUCUGCGAAGUGGCAGCACUUGGCAACGAAAGAAUUUCGGUUCGGGAGGGUCUCGCGGCCUAUCAGCUAGUUGGUGGGGUAACGGCCUACCAGGGCAUCGACGGGUAGCUGGUCUGAGAGGAUGAUCAGCCACACUGGGAUUGAGACACGGCCCAGACUCCUACGGGAGGCAGCAGUGGGGAAUCUUGUGCAAUGGGCGAAAGCCUGACACAGCAACGCCGCGUGCGGGAAGAAGGCCUUCGGGUCGUAAACCGCUUUCAGCAGGAACGAAAAUGACGGUACCUGCAGAAGAAGGUGCGGCCAACUACGUGCCAGCCGCCGCCGUAA